rnacentral:rRNA from 1 species
GGCGAACGGGUGCGUAACACGUGAGGAACCUGCCCCGGUCUCUGGAAUAACAAGUGGAAACACUUGCUAAUACCGGAUGCCGUCUGACCACCGCAUGGUGGACCGACGAAAGAUUUAUCGGAUCGGGAGGGUCUCGCGGCCUAUCAGCUUGUUGGUGAGGUAACGGCUCACCAAGGCAUCGACGGGUAGCUGGUCUGAGAGGAUGAUCAGCCACACUGGGACUGAGACACGGCCCAGACUCCUACGGGAGGCAGCAGUAGGGAAUCUUGCACAAUGGGCGAAAGCCUGAUGCAGCAACGCCGCGUGCGGGAAGAAGGCCUUAGGGUUGUAAACCGCUUUCAGCAGGGAAGAAGAUGACGGUACCUGUAGAAGAAGGUGCGGCCAACUACGUGCCAGCAGCCGCGGUGACACGUAGGCACCAAGCGUUGUCCGGAUUUAUUGGGCGUAAAGAGCUCGUAGGCGGUUCGGUAAGUCGGGUGUGAAAACUCUGGGCUCAACCCAGAGCCGCCACCCGAUACUGCUGUGACUCGAGUGCGGUAGGGGAGCGGGGAAUUCCUGGUGUAGCGGUGAAAUGCGCAGAUAUCAGGAGGAACACCAGUGGCGAAGGCGCCGCUCUGGGCCGUGACUGACGCUGAGGAGCGAAAGCGUGGGUAGCAAACAGGAUUAGAUACCCUGGUAGUCCACGCCGUAAACGUUGGGCACUAGGUGUGGGUCUCAACCAACGAGAUCCGCGCCGUCGCUAACGCAUUAAGUGCCCCGCCUGGGGAGUACGGCCGCAAGGCUAAAACUCAAAGGAAUUGACGG